GAAAAGUUAGUUAUAUAUUUAUAACAUAAAAUUGUCAAUUUUAAAUUACUAUUAAAUAGUACUUUUCU
rnacentral:tRNA from 1 species